UCGGGAAUUUUGGGCAAUGGGCGAAAGCCUGACCCAGCAACGCCGCGUGAGGGAUGAAGUAUUUCGGUAUGUAAACCUCGAAAGAAUGGGAAGAAUAAAUGACGGUACCAUUUAUAAGCUCCGGCUAACUACGUGCCAGCAGCCGCGGUGAUACGUAGGGAGCAAGCGUUGUUCGGAUUUACUGGGCGUAAAGGGCGCGUAGGCGGCGCGGUAAGUCACUUGUGAAAUCUCUGAGCUUAACUCAGAACGGCCAAGUGAUACUGCUGUGCUAGAGUGCGGAAGAGGCAACCGGAAUUCUUGUUGUAGCGGUGAAAUGCGUAGAUAUCAAGAGGAACACCUGAGGCGAAGGCGGGUUGCUGGGCCGACACUGACGCUGAUGCGCGAAAGCCAGGGGAGCAAACG
rnacentral:rRNA from 1 species